UUCUCUCUUUUCCCUCUCUUAGCUGCCGUAAUCUCCGUCUCCCCUCUCAAAAGAUCGGUUCUCAUCAUCUAACAACAAAUCUUCACUUGUUUCAUCGGAUCUAGGUGUACUUGACUAUUCGUGUUCUUAUUGGUUGAUUCUAGGGUGCUUGUGCUGCUUUCAGGUACUCAGGCUAAUCAGGGAUAAAGACUACUAUACUAAG